GAUGAAGAUGGCUACCAUAUGAUCACAUCCAUCCCUCCAGCUGAUUCUGCAACCGAGCCCAUUGAGGGGAACACACAGGACUCUCCAAAUGAGAACACUGAUGUCUACCACGUGUAUUCUACCAUCACCGAUGAACCAGCUGGAUCUACCGUAGAGAGUCCGAUGUACU